GAUGAAGACGCAGCGAAAUGCGAUAAGUAAUGUGAAUUGCAGAAUUCAGUGAAUCAUCGAAUCUUUGAACGCACAUUGCGCCCGCCAGUAUUCUGGCGGGCAUGCCUGUUCGAGCGUCAUUUCAACCAUCAAGCCCCCGGCUUGUGUUGGGGACCUGCGGCUGCCGCAGGCCCUGAAAACCAGUGGCGGGCUCGCUAGUCACUCCGAGCGUAGUAAUACAUCUCGCUCAGGGCGUGCUGCGGGUUCCGGCCGUUAAAAAGCCUUAUUUACCCAAGGUUGACCUCGGAUCAGGUAGGAAGACCCGCUGAACUUAAGCAUAUCAAUAGCGGAGGA
rnacentral:misc_RNA from 1 species